AACGAACGCUGGCGGCAGGCUUAACACAUGCAAGUCGAGCGAGACCUUCGGGUCUAGCGGCGGACGGGUGAGUAACGCGUGGGAACGUGCCCUUCUCUACGGAAUAGCCCCGGGAAACUGGGAGUAAUACCGUAUACGCCCUUUGGGGGAAAGAUUUAUCGGAGAAGGAUCGGCCCGCGUUGGAUUAGGUAGUUGGUGGGGUAAUGGCCCACCAAGCCGACGAUCCAUAGCUGGUUUGAGAGGAUGAUCAGCCACACUGGGACUGAGACACGGCCCAGACUCCUACGGGAGGCAGCAGUGGGGAAUCUUAGACAAUGGGGGCAACCCUGAUCUAGCCAUGCCGCGUGAGUGAUGAAGGCCUUAGGGUUGUAAAGCUCUUUCAGCUGGGAAGAUAAUGACGGUACCAGCAGAAGAAGCCCCGGCUAACUCCGUGCCAGCCGCCGCAGUAA
rnacentral:rRNA from 1 species